rnacentral:hammerhead_ribozyme from 1 species
AUCCAGCCGAAGAUUCGCAAGUAGGACGAAAUGCGCAUCCUGGAU